UUUGUCGAGGCGGCUUCCGGGUUCUCUGCCGGACGCCCUCUUCCUUCUCAGCCAGACUCCCAAUACUUUUCAGGCUUGGACGAUUUUGUUUUCUCCAGCGUGGAACUCAUCUCCCUGACUCUAAAGUAAGUUUGAAUCUUUUAUUACACUGUCGAUCUUUUUUUUUUUUUCACAGUUGGAGUGCCUGGGAGAGCGGAGGCUUCGUGGCCGUUUGUCUGCCGUCGAUCAUCGGACACAAAGUAUGGCUGCGGAUCGAGAGUUUGUUUUCUCUCCCUCUCCACCCCCUCCCUCCCCCCUCCCCGGCCGGGGAGGUGGUUAGGUGGUACCCAUGCUGACAGCGGCUAUCUGGAUUCUCGUGGCCAAUUCAGGAUAGGGGAACUGCAGCUCAACCUCCUCGAAGAGCACUGCCAGGACAAUUGAGGGCUCCUUUCGGCAGCCCUCUGCUGUGACAUGGAGAUCCACUUUUUAUUUAAUUGAUUUUCAUGUUGUAUCAUUUGUGCCCUCUCUGCAUCCAUUUCAACCUGGUGAUCCUGAAAGGGGGAUCCUUCCAUCUGUGGUCCCUUCUCAAGGUUUCUCAUUUUCCCCCUGCUAGGGGUUUUUAAGUUUUUCCUUGCCCUUUUGGGAGCUUAAGAUCAGGGGAUGCUUUGAGAAUAAUUGUCAAUUUCUGUCUAUGUGAAGCCCUUUGAGACUGCUUGUGAUUUAGGGCUAUACAAAUAAACUUGACUUGACUUGACAGA